GAGACGUGUAUACUCAAAAAAAAUAUUUAGCGCGUUAGUUUCUUCGAACUAUACAAGUGCCUUCGCAGCUGCAAUGAAAGUUGAUAUAAAAUUCCUUCUCAAAAAUUAUUUAGGACAUGCAUAACCAUAAAAGAAACCUGAUACCUGAACGUGCACCAAAGUUAUAAUCGUACUUACUGAUCGUACAGUGAUCAUGAGUCGUCAACAAAAAACCAUUAUGUGAACAAUAGUAUAUUAUUACGUAGACCAUCCCUCGUCUGUCAUACAAUAAAUACUUAAACGCUUAAAACGCAAUCCGCUCAAUAAAAGUACAACCUUUAUGCGUGAUAUGUAUUUGUAUAUUAUGAUAAGUACAUAUUAUGCAAACACUGUUUACAAGGAUACUAUGAUGACAACAGAAGAUUGAAUAAACCUUCAUGUAUACAUAAUAAGAUUUUCGAUUUACAUAAAUUCAAGGAAUGCGUUUCAAGACUUAAAAUAUUCUGACGUGUUGAAGAAAUUUAAAUACGAUUUCAUUUACGUGCGACAGCAUACUUUGAAAGAAUCAAAAGUGCGCUAAAAAAAUUAAUGGCAUAAAAUCAUGUUCUUCACGUAAUCUCCGAUUUUUUUAAUUCUUUAUUUUCGUGGCUUUAUAUAAACAAAAAAAAAAGAAAUACAGUGCGAAUUGCUUAAUAUGAUGCACUUACGACAUCACCCGAUUGCGAUAUUAUUUUUCGAAUUUAAUAGGCGCUCGCCACAAGUCGUCCUACGCUUAGACAAUAAUAAUAAAAUUAAAGUAAAACAUAGCACCAAUAAAUGAAAAAGAAAGGCGACACAAAUUAAAACAGAUUUGCAAAUGAAAAAUUUAGCAGGAAACAUACAUAUCUGAAGUAUACAGGACGUUAUGUAACUGAUAAAACAAGCAUUAUCUAAGUUAUCAACGAAAUGUGAAAUAAGGGAGCAUAACAGCAUGCGUGCAAAUCAUAAUAGCUCAAACAUGAAGUUCGCUUUGCAAAAAUAUACAGCGCUGCAGCACAAAGCAUAAUAUGAUAAAAACCCAAAUGAAAUCCAAUCCUGGACCUCUUAUUAGCAUAGAUGGGCAUUCACGGCCCACCACAUUAACAUUGAAGAUGAUUCAA